rnacentral:rRNA from 1 species
AGAGCGAACGCUGGCGGCAGGCCUAACACAUGCAAGUCGAGCGCCCCGCAAGGGGAGCGGCAGACGGGAGAGUAACACGUGGGAACGUACCCUUCAGUUCGGAACAACCCAGGGAAACUUGGGCUAAUACCGAAUACGUCCGUAAGGAGAAAGAUUUAUCGCUGAAGGAUCGGCCCGCGUCUGAUUAGCUAGUUGGUGAGGUAACGGCUCACCAAGGCUACGAUCAGUAGCUGGUCUGAGAGGAUGAUCAGCCUCACUGGGACUGAGACACGGCCCAGACUCCUACGGGAGGCAGCAGUGGGGAAUAUUGAACAAUGGGCGCAAGCCUGAUCCAGCCAUGCCGCGUGGAUGAUGAAGGCCUUAGGGUUGUAAAGUCCUUUCGACGGGGAAGAUAAUGACGGUACCCGUAGAAGAAGCCCCGGCUAACUUCGUGCCAGCAGCCGC